rnacentral:rRNA from 1 species
CACGUAGGGCGCAAGCGUUGUCCGGAAUUAUUGGGCGUAAAGAGCUCGUAGGCGGUCUGUUGCGUCUGCUGUGAAAACUCGGGGCUUAACCCCGAGCCUGCAGUGGAUACGGGCAGACUAGAGGUAGGUAGGGGAGAAUGGAAUUCCCGGUGUAGCGGUGAAAUGCGCAGAUAUCGGGAGGAACACCGGUGGCGAAGGCGGCAUCCUGGACCAAUUCUGACGCUGAGGAGCGAAAGCCAGGGGAGCAAACGGG